AGAGUUUGAUCCUGGCUCAGAUUGAACGCUGGCGGCAGGCCUAACACAUGCAAGUCGAGCGGUAGAGAGAAGCUUGCUUCUCUUGAGAGCGGCGGACGGGUGAGUAAUGCCUAGGAAUCUGCCUGGUAGUGGGGGAUAACGCUCGGAAACGGACGCUAAUACCGCAUACGUCCUACGGGAGAAAGCAGGGGACCUUCGGGCCUUGCGCUAUCAGAUGAGCCUAGGUCGGAUUAGCUAGUUGGUGAGGUAAUGGCUCACCAAGGCGACGAUCCGUAACUGGUCUGAGAGGAUGAUCAGUCACACUGGAACUGAGACACGGUCCAGACUCCUACGGGAGGCAGCAGUGGGGAAUAUUGGACAAUGGGCGAAAGCCUGAUCCAGCCAUGCCGCGUGUGUGAAGAAGGUCUUCGGAUUGUAAAGCACUUUAAGUUGGGAGGAAGGGCAUUAACCUAAUACGUUGGUGUCUUGACGUUACCGACAGAAUAAGCACCGGCUAACUCUGUGCCAGCAGCCGCGGUAAUACAGAGGGUGCAAGCGUUAAUCGGAAUUACUGGGCGUAAAGCGCGCGUAGGUGGUUCGUUAAGUUGGAUGUGAAAUCCCCGGGCUCAACCUGGGAACUGCAUUCAAAACUGACGAGCUAGAGUAUGGUAGAGGGUGGUGGAAUUUCCUGUGUAGCGGUGAAAUGCGUAGAUAUAGGAAGGAACACCCAGUGGCGAAGGCGACCACCUGGACUGAUACUGACACUGAGGUGCGAAAGCGUGGGGAGCAAACAGGAUUAGAUACUCUGGUAGUCCACGCCGUAAACGAUGUCAACUAGCCGUUGGGAGCCUUGAGCUCUUAGUGGCGCAGCUAACGCAUUAAGUUGACCGCCUGGGGAGUACGGCCGCAAGGUUAAAACUCAAAUGAAUUGACGG
rnacentral:rRNA from 1 species